rnacentral:sRNA from 2 species
GUAUUUCCGCAACGGGGAAGGAUGAGAGGCUUCGACGAAGGUUCGAUUCGAGCGUAGCGACAAAGCGUUGCCGCAGGCAACGACCCGAAGGGCGAGGCGCAACGCGCCGAGUAAUCCUUCCCCCACCACCA